rnacentral:rRNA from 1 species
GAUGAACGCUAGCUACAGGCUUUAAACACAUGCAAGUCGAGGGCAGCGGGAUUGAAGCUUGCUUCAAUUGCCGGCGACCGGCGCACGGGUUGAGUAACGCGUAUCCAACCUUCCGUACACUCAGGGAUAGCCUUUCGAAAGAAAGAUUAAUACCUGAUGGUAUCUUAAGCACACAUGUAAUUAAGAUUAAAGAUUUAUCGGUGUACGAUGGGGAUGCGUUCCAUUAGGUAGUAGGCGGGGUAACGGCCCACCUAGCCAACGAUGGAUAGGGGUUCUGAGAGGAAGGUCCCCCACAUUGGAACUGAGACACGGUCCAAACUCCUACGGGAGGCAGCAGUGGGGAAUAUUGCACAAUGGGGGAAACCCUGAUGCAGCGACGCCGCGUGAGCGAAGAAGUAUUUCGGUAUGUAAAGCUCUAUCAGCAGGGAAGAAAAUGACGGUACCUGACUAAGAAGCCCCGGCUAACUACGUG